rnacentral:rRNA from 1 species
CAGUAGCCGCGGUAAUACGAAGGGUGCAAGCGUUAAUCGGAAUUACUGGGCGUAAAGCGUGCGCAGGCGGUUAUAUAAGACAGAUGUGAAAUCCCCGGGCUCAACCUGGGAACUGCAUUUGAGACUGUAUGGCUAGAGUGUGUCAGAGGGGGGUAGAAUUCCACGUGUAGCAGUGAAAUGCGUAGAUAUGUGGAGGAAUACCGAUGGCGAAGGCAGCCCCCUGGGAUAACACUGACGCUCAUGCACGAAAGCGUGGGGAGCAAACAGGAUUAGAUACCCGGGUAGUCCCUGUCUCUUAUAC